CCUACGGGAGGCAGCAGUGGGGAAUAUUGCACAAUGGGGGAAACCCUGAUGCAGCGACGCCGCGUGAGCGAUGAAGUAUUUCGGUAUGUAAAGCUCUAUCAGCAGGGGAGAAGAUGACGGUACCUGACUAAGAAGCCCCGGCUAACUACGUGCCAGCAGCGGUGGUAAUACGUAGGGGGCAAGCGUUAUCCGGAUUGACUGGGAGUAAAGGGAGCGUAGAGGGCGAUGCAAGACAGAUGUGAAAGCCCGGGGCUCAACCCCGGGACUGCAUUUGGAACUGUGUGGCUGGAGUGUCGGAGAGGCAGGCGGAAUUCCUAGUGUAGCGGUGAAAUGCGUAGAUAUUAGGAGGAACACCAGUGGCGAAGGCGGCCUGCUGGACGAUGACUGACGUUGAGGCUCGAAAGCGUGGGGAGCAAACAGGAUUAGAUACCCCGGUAGUC
rnacentral:rRNA from 1 species